rnacentral:rRNA from 1 species
UACAGAGGUCCCAAGCGUUGUUCGGAUUCACUGGGCGUAAAGGGUGCGUAGGUGGCAGGGUAAGUUUGAUGUGAAAUCUCCGAGCUUAACUCGGAAACUGCAUUGAAUACUAUCCUGCUUGAGGGUUGGAGGGGAGACUGGAAUUCUCGGUGUAGCAGUGAAAUGCGUAGAUAUCAAGAGGAACACCAGUGGCGAAGGCGAGUCCCUGGACAACUUCUGACGCUGAGGCACGAAAGCUAGGGGAGCAAACAGG